GUUCAGUAAAUCAACUGGGCCACGUGAGGUUCAGUAGAUCAACUGGCCACGUACAGUUCAGUAAAUCAACUGGGCCACAUGAGGUUCAGUAGAUCAACUGGGCCAUGUGCAGUUCAGUAAAUCAACUGGGCCACGUACAGUUCAGUAAAUCAACUGGGCCACGUGAGGUUCAGUAGAUCAACUGGGCCAUGUGCAGUUCAGUAAAUCAACUGGGCCACGUACAGUUCAGUAAAUCAACUGGGCCACGUGCAGUUCAGUAAAUCAACUGGUCCACAUGCAGUUCAGUAAAUCAACUGAGCCAUGUGAGGUUCAGUAGAUCAACUGGGCCACGUACAGUUCAGUAAAUCAACUGGGCCACGUGCAGUUCAGUAAAUCAACUGGGCCACAUGCAGUUCAGUAAAUCAACUGGUCCACAUGCAGUUCAGUAAAUCAACUGGGCCACGUACAGUUCAGUAAAUCAACUGGGCCACGUGAGGUUCAGUAGAUCAACUGGGCCACGUGAGUUUCCGUAGAUCAACUGGGCCACAUGCAGUUCAGUAAAUCAACUGGGCCACAUGCAGUUCAGUAAAUCAACUGGUCCACAUGCAGUUCAGUCGAUCAACUGGGCCACGUGAGGUUCAGUAGAUCAACUGGACCACGUGAGGGUUCCGCAGAUCAACUGGGCCACGUGAGGUUCCGUAGAUCAACUGGAUCACGUGAGGUUCCGUAGAUCAACUGGACCACGUGCAGUUCAGUAAAUCAACUGGGCCACGUGAGGUUCCGUAGAUCAACUGGACCACUUGAGGUUCCGUAGAUCAACUGGACCACGUGAGGGUUCCGUAGAUCAACUGGACCACGUGAGGGUUCCGUAGAUCAACUGGACCACGUGCAGUUCAGUAAAUCAACUGUUCUAGAGCAGACAUGUAGAACAAGGAACCAUGUCAGAGAAGCAUAGAAGUUUGUUCUACGUAGCAUACUUCUAUCUGAACGUUCGACAACGUUGCGUCCCGCUGAACACACACCACCUAUGCAAACAAGGUGAAAGACCCAAGGAGGGUCCAUCUACAUGAAGGAAUGUUUGCCGUGGAAAAGCACCCCCCCCCCAAAAAAAAACCCAGGAAGUAUCCCCCUUUUGACAAUGUUACCUGACUUGUUACGCCUGAAAUCUUGCCCUUUUUCUUAUAAAAUAUUUUAGAGUAUUGCAUAUCACUUCAUCAUAGAAUAUAAAACCUUCCAAAGAGUUGAUGUACGUUUCCCAUCACUUCUCACCAAAUCAAAUUAAAAGUUUGCUGUGGAAAAACCCA
ensembl:lncRNA